UACGUAGGGUGCAAGCGUUGUCCGGAAUUAUUGGGCGUAAAGGGCUCGUAGGCGGUCUGUUGCGUCGGGAGUGAAAACUCGGGGCUUAACCCCGAGCCUGCUUCUGAUACGGGCAGACUAGAGGUAUGCAGGGGAGAACGGAAUUCCUGGUGUAGCGGUGAAAUGCGCAGAUAUCAGGAGGAACACCGGUGGCGAAGGCGGUUCUCUGGGCAUUACCUGACGCUGAGGAGCGAAAGCGUGGGGAGCAAACAGG
rnacentral:rRNA from 1 species